ACUACAACCCCACAAACACGGUGAGAAAAACCACACAUUUCCAACAUCAUCAUCAGCAACAACACAAGCAAGAAGAGAAGAGAAGAAAAAAUGAACAAGAAUAAAAUAUUCAAACUAGCAAAAAGGUUUAGAGGGAGAGCAAAGAACUGUAUAAGGAUAGCUAGAGAAAGAGUUGAGAAGGCCUUGUAGUAUUCUUACAGAGAUCGCUUGUUACAGGUGGAUUCGGUUUGAAGAUUUAAAUAGAGGGAAAUCAACAAAGGAAGAAAUUACUGUUACAAGCAAAACACACCGUUUGACCAACCCUAGUACCCGUACUUUUUUAAUAAUUGUAAUUCUUCUUUCUAAGAAGGCACUAGAAUUUAGUAAUUUACUCCCGCCUUCUACGGUGCCUAUAUAUAAGGGCCGUUGCAAGAAUGAAGUAAUGAAAAAAGAGAGAUUAUUCUGUCCUUUUAAGCAAGUCCUUUUUCUCUCCUUAUUCCUUUCGUCUGGUUCACCGACCUUCUCUCAUUCUGUUUGUCGUCUUCUCUAAAUUCUUAGUCCUGCUCCAUCGCCGCAACAAGAAGAGGGACAUACGUUCUCUUUGGAUCCAACGCAUCAAUGCUGGCACCCGCCAACAUGGUGUUAAUUAUGGUAAUUUCAUGCAUGGACUGCUGAAGGAGAGUUUUCAUCUGAACAGAAAAGUCUUAUCAGAGAAAUCCAUGCACGAACCAUAUAGUUUCAAGGCCCUGGUAGACAUGUCCCGCAACGCCUUUCCUGGAAACAAAAAUGUGGUGCAUCGUCCCAGGAAAGUGGACAUUUCUUCUGUUAAUGUGUAGUUCUUUAAUUGGGUACCUUGGCAAUUCACUCUUUUUUUAGCCCUUCAGAGCUUGUCUGAAACAAAAGCUUUAAAUAGGUAGCUUUGUAUUUCCUGGGGUAGUUUAGACCUCCCUGUCUCUGGAUAUAUGGAUGAAUGAAAACAGCUAGCCAUUGUGAAGAAAUAGAAGUGAUAUCUGGCCAGUUACAUUUCAAUAUUUAAGGAUGCACAAUGAAGUGAAGAAACAUGAGAAAUUCUUCAAUUUUCAAAAUGAAGAAUAAUUGUACUUUCAUGACAAAGAAACUAAUCAUCUUAGAAAUUUUUUCCCCUGCUGUAA